GAUGAACGCUGGCGGCGUGCCUAAUACAUGCAAGUCGAGCGAACAGACGAGGAGCUUGCUCCUCUGACGUUAGCGGCGGACGGGUGAGUAACACGUGGAUAACCUACCUAUAAGACUGGGAUAACUUCGGGAAACCGGAGCUAAUACCGGAUAAUAUAUUGAACCGCAUGGUUCAAUAGUGAAAGACGGUUUUGCUGUCACCUAUAGAUGGAUCCGCGCCGCAUUAGCUAGUUGGUAAGGUAACGGCUUACCAAGGCAACGAUGCGUAGCCGACCUGAGAGGGUGAUCGGCCACACUGGAACUGAGACACGGUCCAGACUCCUACGGGAGGCAGCAGUAGGGAAUCUUCCGCAAUGGGCGAAAGCCUGGCGGAGCAACGCCGCGUGAGUGAUGAAGGUCUUCGGAUCGUAAAACUCUGUUAUUAGGGAAGAACAAAUGUGUAAGUAACUAUGCACGUCUUGACGGUACCUAAUCAGAAAGCCACGGCUAACUACGUG
rnacentral:rRNA from 1 species